rnacentral:rRNA from 1 species
GAUGAACGCUGGCGGCGUGCCUAAUACAUGCAAGUCGAGCGAACGGACGAGAAGCUUGCUUCUCUGAUGUUAGCGGCGGACGGGUGAGUAACACGUGGAUAACCUACCUAUAAGACUGGGAUAACUUCGGGAAACCGGAGCUAAUACCGGAUAAUAUUUUGAACCGCAUGGUUCAAAAGUGAAAGACGGUCUUGCUGUCACUUAUAGAUGGAUCCGCGCUGCAUUAGCUAGUUGGUAAGGUAACGGCUUACCAAGGCAACGAUGCAUAGCCGACCUGAGAGGGUGAUCGGCCACACUGGAACUGAGACACGGUCCAGACUCCUACGGGAGGCAGCAGUAGGGAAUCUUCCGCAAUGGGCGAAAGCCUGACGGAGCAACGCCGCGUGAGUGAUGAAGGUCUUCGGAUCGUAAAACUCUGUUAUUAGGGAAGAACAUAUGUGUAAGUAACUGUGCACAUCUUGACGGUACCUAAUCAGAAAGCCACGGCUAACUACGUGCCAGCAGCCGCGGUAAUACGUAGGUGGCAAGCGUUAUCCGGAAUUAUUGGGCGUAAAGCGCGCGUAGGCGGUUUUUUAAGUCUGAUGUGAAAGCCCACGGCUCAACCGUGGAGGGUCAUUGGAAACUGGAAAACUUGAGUGCAGAAGAGGAAAGUGGAAUUCCAUGUGUAGCGGUGAAAUGCGCAGAGAUAUGGAGGAACACCAGUGGCGAAGGCGACUUUCUGGUCUGUAACUGACGCUGAUGUGCGAAAGCGUGGGGAUCAAACAGGAUUAGAUACCCUGGUAGUCCACGCCGUAAACGAUGAGUGCUAAGUGUUAGGGGGUUUCCGCCCCUUAGUGCUGCAGCUAACGCAUUAAGCACUCCGCCUGGGGAGUACGACCGCAAGGUUGAAACUCAAAGGAAUUGACGGGGACCCGCACAAGCGGUGGAGCAUGUGGUUUAAUUCGAAGUAACGCGAAGAACCUUACCAAAUCUUGACAUCCUUUGACAACUCUAGAGAUAGAGCCUUCCCCUUCGGGGGACAAAGUGACAGGUGGUGCAUGGUUGUCGUCAGCUCAUGUCGUGAGAUGUUGGGUUAAGUCCCGCAACGAGCGCAACCCUUAAGCUUAGUUGCCAUCAUUAAGUUGGGCACUCUAAGUUGACUGCCGGUGACAAACCGGAGGAAGGUGGGGAUGACGUCAAAUCACCAUGCCCCUUAUGAUUUGGGCUACACACGUGCUACAAUGGACAAUACAAAGGGCAGCGAAACCGCGAGGUCAAGCAAAUCCCAUAAAGUUGUUCUCAGUUCGGAUUGUAGUCUGCAACUCGACUACAUGAAGCUGGAAUCGCUAGUAAUCGUAGAUCAGCAUGCUACGGUGAAUACGUUCCCGGGUCU